GACAGAGGUGCCGAGCGUUAGGCGGAAUCACUGGGCUUAAAGCGUGUGUAGGCGGGUCCGUAAGUACCUUGUGAAAUCCCACGGCUCAACCGUGGAACUGCUGGGUAUACUGCGGGUCUUGAGCCACUUGGGGGCAAGCGGAACAAACGGUGGAGCGGUGAAAUGCGUAGAUAUCGUUUGGAACGCCAAUGGUGAAAACAGCUUGCUGGGAGUGUGCUGACGCUGAGACACGAAAGCCAGGGGAGCAAACGGG
rnacentral:rRNA from 1 species